rnacentral:rRNA from 1 species
AGACGUCUACAUUAGAUACCCCGGUAGUCCCAGCCGUAAACUAUGCGCGUUAGGUGUAUCGGUGACCACGAGUUACCGAGGUGCCGAAGGGAAACCGUGAAACGUGCCGCCUGGGAAGUACGGUCGCAGGGCUGAAACUUAAAGGAAUUGGCGGGGAGCACCACAACGGGUGGAGCCUGCGGUUUAAUUGGACUCAACGCCGGGAAGCUCACCGGAUAAGACAGCGGAAUGAUUGCCGGGCUGAAGACUCUGCAUGACUAGCUG